UCUGGACAUCUCCCACUGUGGGCCUGAGUGUGUCUGGAAGAAUCAGAGAAGCACCCAGAGGGGUAGGUUUGCCGCAGACCAAGCCUUGGACCAAACACCCUUCUUCCAGUAUUUCCCAGACUCACCGGAUCCCAAGAUUCACCCAGGUGCCUCAAUCCCACCUGGGAGUUGCCAGGUGGGGCUCUGAACUUGUUUUUGUUAAGUGGGCCAGGUGAUUCUCAGGACCAGAAGCGUUUUAGAAACCCUAAUACAGGCCCUUCCACACCAGGAGGGGGGUGUGUAGUUGGAGUGUGAAUAUGUGUGUGUGUCCGGGCGGGUCUGAGCAUCCCACCAGGCGGAGGCAGGGAGAGAAGCUCGUGAUCCAGCCUCCCAGCCCACCCUUCAAUCCCACCUCUAGCCCGCCCCCUCUGUCCGGACCUCUGCGGAGGCAACUAGGCUGAAGUUUCUGUCAUUGCUGCAUUGGCGGAUCCGUUUUGCGCCUUGCAUUCUUUCUUUGAAUCAACAGGAAUUCGAAUGCGGCCGCAAGACGCCCGAGCUUCCCGCGACGGUUCCUGCGCCACCACAUCCACAGCAGAGCGCCGAGCAGCAGCCAGGUUAUGCUGAGCCCCAGGUAGCCGGCAAGGUAGACCGGCGCCAGGUAGAACAGCACUCGCGCCACAAAGGUGUACAGCUCAGGCAGCAGCUGGCUGGACAGGCGCGGCUCGGGGCUGGGUGCGCUCUGCCUUCCCUGGGCGCUGGGGGCGCCGGGCUCCUCCGCUUGCAUCUCGUCGCCACCGUGUUACCCUUUCCCAGAGCUUCACCCGAGCUCAGGUCCACGCGUCCUGACACCAGGGCACAUCGGUCCUCCAAGCGCGAGGACCCGGCCGCCGCGCCGCACCUGCCCUGCGGGACUCGGACUCGCUGGUGAGGUCUGGGCGCUCAGUUCUCGGGCUUCGCUGCCGCCACCUGAAGCGCGGGAUGUGCAGAUACGCGGCGCCGCCGCGCUCAACUCCCAACCAGAGCCCUGGCUCGCGACGUCUCCGCCCCCAGAGGCGGGCCCAGGGAAGGGGGCGGGGUCAGACCGUGGGCGGGGCUCCUGCGGGGUUCUGAAGAGCAACCAGUGGGCGUGGGCACCCUCCGACUCCGAGGUCCCGCGCAGGCGUCAGCUAAGGGCGCAGUUGCAACGCCCGGGUAGAGCCCUGGUUGGUCUAGGUGCUGCCCCAGGCGGCUUAUGACUCACCGAGGCAUGUGGACAAAUGGCUUGUCAUGGAUAAAUAUCACAUAAAACCUGUUUCCUACACCCGUUUAUAAUAUGCAGUCUAGUAUAUGGGCUGUUAGCUGGGCGUUUGAGGCUCUCCACGGACCGGCUCGCCGGGCCUCUCCACCCCACAGUAGGUCUGACUCAGCCCUCCAUCUGGCCCCUAGAGCCCGGCAUCGCUGCCCGCUCCUCUGGCAUCCCUAAAGCUUAGACCUGGCCCCCAACCCAAGCUAGCCAAGCCCUAGGGGCCUCUUGUCCCCCACAAUGCCCUGUGCCCUGCAUUCCCCACUGUGUGUGUGUCGGUUUGGAUCUUAAUUCACCCCCCCCCCCAUCAUCAGACUGGGAGUUUCCAGUGUCCAGGCUGUCCUGCUAGGCUCUGGGCUGCCCAGCACAGCAAGUGGUGGGUGUUCACAAGGGAGAUGAAGGGCAAGCCCUGGGGUGACUGGAGGUCAGUUGUGAAGCCCAUGGUUUCUAUCUAAUCCUUUUUGAAUUAUGUGAGCAGGGGAGUCUCAGUCUCCACCUUCAGACAGUAAAUUGUCUUGUGAAUGGCAUACAUUUUAGGCAGUUCUCAUGAGUGAUCACAUCCAUUACUGGAAUGUGAUUUUGGAGGUGACAAAUGCACUGGAAUGAUUCCGAGCUUUCAGUAGUUUCAUUGAAUGGCUGGACCCAAUGGACAACAGCCAGAAGAUAACUAUACUCUUUCCCUCUGUCCCUAUCCUCUCCUGGAUAAAAUUCUUUGCUGCAAUGAGUGUUUUCAAUAAUAGUGUUCCUUUGGUUCCUGUUGGGCUCUCCUCUAUCAUUCUUCCAGGCCAUUCUUCCUGGCCUUCCAGGACUCAGUCAAAAUGGAAGCUGAAAGCCUCCCAGCUUAACAUUGUUCUGCUAUUUCCCAGGAUAGCCUGGGAAAUCAGUAUAGGAAAUAUGGUUUACUUAAUGGUUUUUGGGGUUUUGUUUUGUUUUGGAGAGUUCCUUUUUUGGGUGUACACAAUCCUAUUAAAGGCUCUGAGAAUUCCUGCAGAUAAAAAGCUGUUAAAUUUUAUUUAACUCAGUUUCCAAAAUUAUUUGACCACAGAACUCUUUCUCAAAACACUUCUGUUAUUGGUUGACCCAAGUCAGCUUAAGCUAAAGAACGGUGAAUAUAUGAUGAGGAUAUAGGAAGUGCUCUGUGAACCUGAGUCAGGAAUCCAACCCGUCGUCAGGAUGGAUGCACUAAGAAGCUGACUGUUGACUCAGCUCUGAAUCCCUGCUGCUAUUCCUACUGACCUGCCUCCUCUGCCUCCGGCUGAAGUGGAGAACAUAGCACCUUUUCCACAGCUUCCACGCUCACGGAACUUUCCAGAGAGACUGCUUGACCCUUAUCCUGUCCCAAGUCCAAGGCCUCGGAGAGAGGCCCCACCUGUAUCCAUCAUCCCCUCCCCUGUUGACACACACCGGGUCCUACUUCCAGGUCCCUCUUCUGGGUUAGUGUGUUUGCAGAGGGGAUGUGGGAGUAGGGUGUUCAGAGGAGGAUCACCAGAAAAAGGAAGGUUGCUGAUUUGUGAGCUGGAUGGACACCCACAAGAUCUCCAGCAUGAGACUUGGAU